rnacentral:lncRNA from 1 species
GACACUUUAUCUGUCUUGUUCAAAACUGUGCUUCUAGUAGCUAGAAGAGUAUGUGGUGCAUAGUAGAUGCUCAAUAAAUAGUUGCUAAAUGGCUGAACCAUUGAGGCAACUUUUGAUCUGGGCUUGGGAGAUGAGCCCAAUCUCAUCUUUUUAAUUUAUUUUUUAAUUUACAGGAUAUUGACAGUUGGGUUGUGUAGAAGGUGGAAAAGGGAUUCUAAGUGAGAAAACAACAAGAACAAUGGCAUGAAGCCAUGGAAAUGGAGGUGAAAGGGGAUGUACAAGCUCUGGAGUUGAAAGCCUGUGUCUCCAGGGAAGGAGAGAAGAACCACUGCUGCACUCAGGGAUUUGCCUUGACACAAGGUACAUGAGAGCUGGGUAACAUUGAAUGCCAAAUGGAAAGAAAGAUGACUUCUGGCUUUCCACUGCUGUACUGUAGAAGUGACUGUUGGAUGGCA